rnacentral:rRNA from 1 species
UGGGGAAUUUUGCACAAUGGGGGAAACCCUGAUGCAGCGACGCCGCGUGAUUUAGAAGGCCUUCGGGUUGUAAAAAUCUUUUCUAUGGGAAGAAAAUGACAGUACCAUAGGAAUAAGGACCGGCCAAUUACGUGCCAGCAGCCGCGGUAAUACGUAAGGUCCGAGCGUUGUCCGGAAUCAUUGGGCGUAAAGGGUACGUAGGCGGGUAAGCAAGUUAGAAGUGAAAUCCUAUAGCUCAACUAUAGUAAGCUUUUAAAACUGCUCAUCUUGAGGUAUGGAAGGGAAAGUGGAAUUCCUAGUGUAGCGGUGAAAUGCGCAGAUAUUAGGGGGAAUACCGGUGGGGAAGGGGACUUUCUGGCCAUAACCUGACGCUGAGGUACGAAAGCGUGGGUAGCAAACAGG